rnacentral:rRNA from 1 species
UACGUAGGGCGCAAGCGUUGUCCGGAAUUAUUGGGCGUAAAGAGCUCGUAGGCGGCCUGUUACGUCUGCUGUGAAAUCCCGGGGCUUAACCCCGGGCGUGCAGUGGAUACGGGCAGGCUGGAGGCAGGCAGGGGAGAACGGAAUUCCCGGUGUAGCGGUGAAAUGCGCAGAUAUCGGGAGGAACACCGGUGGCGAAGGCGGCCCCCUGGACAAAGACUGACGCUCAGGUGCGAAAGCGUGGGGAGCAAACAGG